rnacentral:piRNA from 1 species
UGGAAGCUCUUUCCAAACUUCUUGGUACCCGG